rnacentral:tRNA from 1 species
UCCCUGGUGGUCCAGCGGCUAAAAGACUCAGCAAUGCCAAUGCAGGGGGCCCAGGUUCAAUCCCUGGUCAGGGAA